rnacentral:rRNA from 1 species
AUUGAACGCUGGCGCCAUGCUUUACACAUGCAAGUCGAACGGUAACAGGCCGCAAGGUGCUGACGAGUGGCGAACGGGUGAGUAAUGCAUCGGAACGUGCCCAGUCGUGGGGGAUAACGCAGCGAAAGCUGUGCUAAUACCGCAUACGAUCUAUGGAUGAAAGCGGGGGACCGUAAGGCCUCGCGCGAUUGGAGCGGCCGAUGUCAGAUUAGCUAGUUGGUGGGGUAAAGGCCCACCAAGGCGACGAUCUGUAGCUGGUCUGAGAGGACGACCAGCCGCACUGGGACUGAGAGACGGCCCAGACUCCUACGGGAGGCAGCAGUGGGGAAUUUUGGACAAUGGGCGCAAGCCUGAUUCAGCAAUGCCGCGUGCAGGAAGAAGGCCUUCGGGUUGUAAACUGCUUUUGUACGGAACGAAACGGUCUGGGUUAAUACCCUGGGCUAAUGACGGUACCGUAGGAAUAAGCACCGGCUAUCUACGUGCCAGCAGCCGCCGUAAAAC